AUGGUGGUUGUGCUUUCUGCUGUGUUGACUGACAGAUCGAGUGUGGUGAGGCCCACUCUCACAGUCCUCCCUCCAUCCAAAGAGGAAGACAAACAGAGUAGUGCCACUCUGGUGUGUUUGGCCACCGGGGGCUUCCCCUCAAACUGGAAUUUGGGCUGGAAGGUGGGGGGCACCAGCACAUCCUCAGGGGUGUCAACCAGCCUGGAGGUCUUGGGGACAGACGGCCGCUACAGCUGGAGCAGCACCCUGAGCCUCUCUGCAGACCAGUGGAGGAAGGCGGGCUCAGUGAGCUGUGAGGCCAGUCUGAGUGGACAGAGCCCUGUCACUCAAACCCUGGACCCUGACCACUGCUCAGAGUAG